rnacentral:rRNA from 1 species
UACAGAGGUCCCAAGCGUUGUUCGGAUUCACUGGGCGUAAAGGGUGCGUAGGUGGCCAGGUAAGUUUGAUGUGAAAUCUCCGGGCUUAACCCGGAAAGUGCAUUGAAUACUAUCUGGCUAGAGGAUUGGAGGGGAGACUGGAAUUCUCGGUGUAGCAGUGAAAUGCGUAGAUAUCGAGAGGAACACCAGUGGCGAAGGCGAGUCUCUGGACAAUUCCUGACACUGAGGCACGAAAGCUAGGGGAGCAAACAGG